AGAUUGAACGCUGGCGGCAUGCCUUACACAUGCAAGUCGAACGGCAGCACGGGAGCAAUCCUGGUGGCGAGUGGCGAACGGGUGAGUAAUAUAUCGGAACGUGCCCAGUCGUGGGGGGAUAACGCAGCGAAAGCUGUGCUAAUACCGCAUACGAUCUAUGGAUGAAAGCGGGGGAUCGCAAGACCUCGCGCGAUUGGAGCGGCCGAUAUCAGAUUAGCUAGUUGGUGGGGUAAAAGCCUACCAAGGCGACGAUCUGUAGCUGGUCUGAGAGGACGACCAGCCACACUGGAACUGAGACACGGUCCAGACUCCUACGGGAGGCAGCAGGUGGGGAAUUUUGGACAAGUGGGCGCAAGCCUGAUCCAGCAAUGCCGCGUGCAGGAUGAAGGUCCUUACGGGUUGUAAACUGUCUUUACGUAGGUACGG
rnacentral:rRNA from 1 species